GGUUCGUUGGCCGAGGGGUUAGGCACCGGUCUGCAAAACCGUUUACGGCGGUUCGAAUCCGCCACGAACCUCUA
rnacentral:tRNA from 1 species